ACAUGAGUGAAGAGAAUACAUGUGGUCAGGAUAACUCAGUACUCUGGAACUAUCAAAUUUAUUCUUUCUGAUUCAAGAGCUGUCCAUGAAAAUUUUCCUUGAUGAACAUAAUUUCUUUGUUCAACGGAUACUGCUGUGGUCAAAUUGAUUUGAUCAACAUUGUGUUUGAUUCAGAUCUCACUGGGUGCAAUGUCUCAGCCAAGAUAAUUGAUCUGCUGGGUGACUUCUCUGAUUCUCUGCUUCCAAGUGGUUCUACUCAGGUGAAGGUAGAGAAGCAUUCUGGAAUACUUGCACCUGUGUUUGGCAGUCAGUUCAGCACUGAUGACCAGAAUAGCAAGGACCUAGCUUGGUGUUUCAUACUUGGGAUCAUAACCGGGCACUUCAAAACAAAGCAAAGAUCCAGGACAACUCUAAGGGACUCAUGAUGAAGAAGGAUCUAUACCACCAUAGAAGGAGCACAUGGAAUUUAAAUGCAGAUUGAAAUAUACCAUUCUUCAUUUUAUUUCCUCCAUGAAUUUUUCUCUAGCAUAGGCAAUAUGUGUCUUCUUUUACAACAUGACUAACUGGAAAACAUGUAUAUGAUAACAUAUGUACAAUCUGCAUUGUACUAUCUACCUUCUUGAGGAGAAGGGAGGGGUGAAAGGAAGAGUAAAUGUGGAUUGCAAAAUGUUAGAAAAUGAAUAUUAAAAAAUAUGUAAUGUGGAAAGAAAAUUAAAAAAAAAAGCUCUCA
rnacentral:lncRNA from 1 species